UACGUAGGGUCCGAGCGUUGUCCGGAAUUAUUGGGCGUAAAGAGCUCGUAGGCGGUUUGUCGCGUCUGCUGUGAAAUCCCGAGGCUCAACCUCGGGUCUGCAGUGGGUACGGGCAGACUGGAGUGCGGUAGGGGAGAAUGGAAUUCCUGGUGUAGCGGUGGAAUGCGCAGAUAUCAGGAGGAACACCGAUGGCGAAGGCAGUUCUCUGGGCCGUAACUGACGCUGAGGAGCGAAAGCGUGGGGAGCGAAC
rnacentral:rRNA from 1 species